GGACGCUAUUAGUGCCACGUCACAAAAAAGCGAUAAAUAUUGAUUUUUCCACAUUGGUAGCAAAGAUAGAGGUUCAGUUCCUCGACAGUCCUUAGUACAUACACGUUGUUCGGAAUCUACUAUUUAGGCCUUUGAACAAUUUCUCUCUCUUCAAUAGUUUUGCUUAGCUUCUUUCAUCAAAUUUUAGGGAUGAACAGUUGAAAAUGGUAAAGGCCAAGGAAGUAGGCAACCGAUCUGCUUGUUUACCUUAAAACUCCAAUCAAAAUCAGCUAACUGCAAGGAAGACUUUGAUUCCAUUCUGGAUGCUUUGAUACUUCACAAACUGAGAUGUAAGUUCUUGAAUGACACUUCAGCAGCAUGCCAGCAUGAAGUAAUUUUCGCUUGAAUUUAUUCAAGAUUUCAGGACAAGGUACACUCUACUACAGGUAUGGACAAAUGGAAUUUUAGAAAGUCGUCAAAACGCGUAGAUUUGACAGCAUCGAGAGUACGACUGCGAAGAGCGAAGACAUACGCGGCAAAUGGACGGUAAGGUAACAGCACCAGUACCCGGAAUGGUACCAGUAUCCGGAACAUCGCUCAGUUUUUCGUAAAAAAUAAGCGGUAGGUACAUCAGUGCAAAAAGGGCAUCAGGGUUUCACAAAUUACACUCAGAGGGCGCCACCUUGCAAUAAGUGUGAUGGUCGUGCGCUCCUUUUAUUAUCUGUACCAUGCUUCUAUAGUGACGUAUUCACAGAGCGGUUCGUUCUGUGAAUACGUCACUAUAGAAGCAUGGUACAGAUAAUAAAAGGAGCGCACGACCAUCACACUUAUUGCAAGGUGGCGCCCUCUGAGUGUAAUUUGUGAAACCCUGAUGCCCUUUUUGCACUGAUGUACCUACCGCUUAUUUUUUACGAAAAACUGAGCGAUGUUCCGGAUACUGGUACCAUUCCGGGUACUGGUGCUGUUACCUUACCGUCCAUUUGCCGCGUAUGUCUUCGCUCUUCGCAGUCGUACUCUCGAUGCUGUCAAAUCUACGCGUUUUGACGACUUUCUAAAAUUCCAUUUGUCCAUACCUGUAGUAGAGUGUACCUUGUCCUGAAAUCUUGAAUAAAUUCAAGCGAAAAUUACUUCAUGCUGGCAUGCUGCUGAAGUGUCAUUCAAGAACUUACAUCUCAGUUUGUGAAGUAUCAAAGCAUCCAGAAUGGAAUCAAAGUCUUCCUUGCAGUUAGCUGAUUUUGAUUGGAGUUUUAAGGUAAACAAGCAGAUCGGUUGCCUACUUCCUUGGCCUUUACCAUUUUCAACUGUUCAUCCCUAAAACUGUUAAUUAACAGGAACCAGCUCAAAACUAGGGAUGGUCGAAUAUUUGAAUAAUCGAAUAUUCGAUAUUCGAGCCAUUGCUACCAAGAUAAUCGCAUCACAAUCGAGUAUUGGUGAAACUAUUCGAUUAUUAUCCAAUUAAUAUUAGAAGAGGCGAAACUGCGAUUAUUAUCUAUUACUUCCCCUCCAACAGUUCAAAAUUUUGAGAUUAGACCCUCUCUAGACGCUAUUAGUGCCAUCUCACAGAAAAGUGAUAUCUUUUGACUUUUUUGCAUCGGUAGCAUCAAAAAAGGUUGUGCAAAUGUCAUUGUAUGGUUACAAUUCGAGUUCAUGGAAAAUCCGUAUGAUGACGGAUGACGUCGAUACUAGUACCUAGCAUCUAUACCUUCAUGCCCUUUAGUUAGGGAUGUUGAUACUCGAGGAAGUAUCGACUCUAAGCUUCGAUAGCGAUAUCGAGCAUCGAGCUGAAGUAUCGAUACUCUUGCGGUAUUGGUACCAUGGAUACUAUUCCUAAAUGAUGCCGUAAUUAUUAGUGUGCCUAUGUCUUUCGACCGUUUAAUUCAGCCAGACUUAUGCUUCUCUCAAUACCGCCCUUAUCCGCCUGCUUAGUCAGAGCCCUUCACUACUGUUAUCGAUCCGAGCUUUCAACUUUUUUAACGAAAGUAAUCAUCUUGAGAAACCUGAUUACCCUGUAGUUUGUCACAGUGCAUAUUCAAGGUGAAACAGAAGAGAGAGAAGUUGUGAUCAAAGAAAAAGAGGCCUUCUCCAUGGCAAAAUCAAAUAAAGUACUGAUAUCAUCGAAAUUGGGGUUUGAGGAGCGACACUACAUAGUAACGAUACUGCUGAGUAUCGAUGCCAAGUAUUGAUGAGUAUCGAUACUUUGAAAGUAUCGGUUUAAUAUCGACCACCCUACCUUAAGUCCAAGUAGUACUAAUAUGGUUUGAAAAAGUCCAUUAAGUGGAAAUACUUUACCCAAAGUGCAUAAAA